UACACGUUUUCUGAAAUAUCAAUCUUAAAAGAAAAUGGAUUGGGCAACCUUGAAAGAAAAUAAGAUCUCAGUAUCUAGAGUAAAAUAAUGCAUGUUGGGAGGCUCUGAACACAAAAAUGGAUGAGAAACGAUGACAACCUCGUAUCAGUGGAGACCCUAGUGUUUAGAUUAUGGUCAUUAAUACCAUUUUUCCACUGACAAGAAUUUGAACUCUUUAGCAAUGUAACUAAUUUCAGGAUGAUGCACAGAGAGUACCAAACCAUCCCUGAUUAUAUUGUUGGGCCAAAAGGCAAAGGAAGCAAAGAUUGCUGGAGUUUUGUGAAAAGGACACACAAAAAAAGG
rnacentral:lncRNA from 1 species